rnacentral:rRNA from 1 species
GUCGCCGGCAUAUCACCCUGUAGCCCAAGACUGGUCACCCACUGAUGCUAAUCAGGGUUGAGCCUGGUCAAUACCUGGAUGGGAGACCUCCUGAGAAAACUAGGUAGCUGCUGAAA